rnacentral:rRNA from 1 species
CUUGUAGGUGGUGGAGAAAGUCGGAUGUGAAAUCUCCAGGCUUAACCUGGAAAUUGCAUUCGAAACUUCUUCGCUAGAGUACCGGAGAGGGAAACGGAAUUCCUGGUGUAGGGGUGAAAUCUGUAGAUAUCAGGAAGAACACCGGUGGCGAAGGCGGUUUCCUGGCCGGAUACUGACACUGAGGAGCGAAAGCUAGGGGAGCAAAACA